rnacentral:rRNA from 1 species
GGAAUUUUAUUUAUCUUAGUGGCGGACGGGUGAGUAACGUGUGGGCAACCUGCCCUAUACUGGGGAAUAAUCACUGGAAACGGUGACUAAUACCGCAUGUCAUUACGGAAGGGCAUCCUUCUGUAAGAAAAGGAGUAAUUCGGUAUAGGAUGGGCCCGCAUCUGAUUAGCUAGUUGGUGAGAUAACAGCCCACCAAGGCGACGAUCAGUAGCCGACCUGAGAGGGUGAUCGGCCACAUUGGGACUGAGACACGGCCCAAACUCCUACGGGAGGCAGCAGUGGGGAAUAUUGCACAAUGGGGGAAACCCUGAUGCAGCAACGCCGCGUGAAGGAAGAAGGUUUUCGGAUCGUAAACUUCUAUCAACAGGGACGAAGAAAGUGACGGUACCUGAAUAAGAAGCCCCGGCUAACUACGUGCCAGCAGCCGCGGUAAUACGUAGGGGGCAAGCGUUAUCCGGAAUUACUGGGUGUAAAGGGAGCGUAGGCGGCACGCCAAGCCAGAUGUGAAAGCCCGAGGCUUAACCUCGCGGAUUGCAUUUGGAACUGGCGAGCUAGAGUACAGGAGAGGAAAGCGGAAUUCCUAGUGUAGCGGUGAAAUGCGUAGAUAUUAGGAAGAACACCAGUGGCGAAGGCGGCUU